AGAAUCAACGCUGGCGGCGUGCCUAACACAUGCAAGUCGAACGCGAAAGCCCCGCAAGGGGUCAGUAGAGUGGCAAACGGGUGAGUAACACGUGGGUGAUCUGCCUCAGAGUGGGGGAUAACGACCCGAAAGGGUCGCUAAUACCGCAUAACAUCCUGCGCUUGGAUGCGUGGAGAUCAAAGUUGGGGAUUCGCAAGAACCUGACGCUUAGAGAGGAGCCCGCGGCCGAUUAGCUAGUUGGUGAGGUAACGGCUCACCAAGGCAACGAUCGGUA
rnacentral:rRNA from 1 species